AUAAAUAAGUAAAUUACAAAACAACAAAAACAAUGAUUACUCAUUUUUGACACUGUCAAGAAAGUCUUUACACAAAAUAUUUUCAUUUUUUAAAUUCAAAAUUCUUCGUAAUUAUUUAAUAUAUUUAACUUAUUUUAAUAUUUGGUCAUACUCAAAGGGAAUCUUUUGCCACUCUUCCAAUAUGAAUUCUUUGAGCUGAUUGCGGUUUUUGGGCUGUCUUUUUCCCACUUUCUUCUUCAAAUAGGCCCACAAAUUUUCAAUGGGGUUAAGAUCGGGACUCUGGGGUGGUGUAUCAAUAACUUUUCCACAGUUGUAAAGCAGCCAAGCUCUCACAUUGGACUCUUUAUGUUUGGGAUCAUUGUCUUGAUAAAACUUAAAUUUGGCCCUAUUGUCCGUAAUGAGACCAAAUUUCUCCGCACUGCUUUUUAAAUUUGUUUUUUAAAUUUGGAGGUACUGUUUGGCAUCCAUUGUGUUCUCAAUAAAUUCAAUAUUUCCCACUCCUCGGCUAGAGAUGCACCCCCAAAUCAUAACCGAAAGUUUUCCAAACUUUACAGUCGGAAUGAUGUUUCGGUUAUCUAAAGCUGUUAACGGCUUGCGCCAUACUCUGGGUGGACCAUCAUUGUAAUA